rnacentral:rRNA from 1 species
GCAAUGCCGCGUGCAGGAUGAAGGCCUUCGGGUUGUAAACUGCUUUUGUACGGAACGAAACGGCGAGCUCUAAUACAGUUUGCUAAUGACGGUACCGUAAGAAUAAGCACCGGCUAACUACGUGCCAGCAGCCGCGGUAAUACGUAGGGUGCGAGCGUUAAUCGGAAUUACUGGGCGUAAAGCGUGCGCAGGCGGUGAUGUAAGACAGAUGUGAAAUCCCCGGGCUCAACCUGGGACCUGCAUUUGUGACUGCAUCGCUAGAGUACGGCAGAGGGGGAUGGAAUUCCGCGUGUAGCAGUGAAAUGCGUAGAUAUGCGGAGGAACACCGAUGGCGAAGGCAAUCCCCUGGGCCUGUACUGACGCUCAUGCACGAAAGCGUGGGGAGCAAACAGGAUUAAAUACCCUGGUAGUCCACGCCCUAAACGAUGUCAACUGGUUGUUGGGUCUUCACUGACUCANUAACGAAG